UACGUAGGGUGCGAGCGUUAAUCGGAAUUACUGGGCGUAAAGCGCACGUAGGCGGCUUUGUAAGUUAGAGGUGAAAGCCCGGGGCUCAACUCCGGAAUUGCCUUUAAGACUGCAUCGCUAGAAUUGUGGAGAGGUAAGUGGAAUUCCGAGUGUAGAGGUGAAAUUCGUAGAUAUUCGGAAGAACACCGGUGGCGAAGGCGACUUACUGGACACAUAUUGACGCUGAGGUGCGAAAGCGUGGGGAGCAAACAGG
rnacentral:rRNA from 1 species